AAAGUUUUAAGUUAACUUAAACUAUUAACCUUCAAAGUUAAAAAUAUAAUAAUCUUUUAUAAACUUUA
rnacentral:tRNA from 1 species